CCUACGGGAGGCAGCAGUGAGGAAUAUUGGUCAAUGGUCGAGAGUCUGAACCAGCCAAGUAGCGUGAAGGAUGACUGCACUAUGGGUUGUAAACUUCUUUUAUCAGGGAAUAAAAAGUGGCACGCGUGCCUUUUUGCAUGUACCUUAUGAAUAAGCAUCGGCUAACUCCGUGCCAGCAGCCGCGGUAAUACGGAGGAUCCGAGCGUUAUCCGGAUUUAUUGGGUUUAAAGGGAGCGUAGGUGGGUUGUUAAGUCAGUUGUGAAAGGCUGGGGCUCAACCGUAACAUUGCAUUUGAAACUGGCAGUCUUGAGUUCAGUAGAGGUAGGCGGAAUGCGUGGUGUAGCGGUGAAAUGCUUAGAUAUCGCGAAGAACUCCGAUUGCGAAGGCAGCUUACUGGACUCAGACUGACACUGAGGCUCGAAAGUGUGGGUAUCGAACAGGAUUAGAUACCCUUGUAGUC
rnacentral:rRNA from 1 species